AUUGAACGCUGGCGGCAUGCUUUACACAUGCAAGUCGAACGGCAGCGCGGGCUUCGGCCUGGCGGCGAGUGGCGCACGGGUGAGUAAUGCAUCGGAACGUGCCCAGUAGUGGGGGAUAGCCCGGCGAAGGCCGGAGUAAUACCGCAUACGACCUGAGGGUGAAAGCGGGGGACCGAAAGGCCUCGCGCGAUUGGAGGGGCCGAUGUCGGAUUAGCCAGUUGGUGGGGUAAAGGCUUACCAAGGCGACGAUCCGUAGGUGGUCUGAGAGGACGACCAGCCACACUGGGACUGAGCCACGGCCCAGACUCCUACGGGAGGCAGCAGUGGGGAAUUUUGGACAAUGGGGGCAACCCUGAUCCAGCCAUGCCGCGUGCGGGAAGAAGGCCUUCGGGUUGUAAACCGCUUUUGUUCGGGAAGAAAUCCUCUGGGCUAAUACCCCGGGGGGAUGACGGUACCGGAAGAAUAAGCACCGGCUAACUACGUG
rnacentral:rRNA from 1 species